AUUGAACGCUGGCAGAAUGCUUUACACAUGCAAGUCGAGCGGCAGCGCGGGGGCAACCCUGGCGGCGAGCGGCGAACGGGUGAGUAACAUAUCGGAACGUACCCUGUCGUGGGGGAUAACUAUCCGAAAGGAUAGCUAAUACCGCAUACGACCUGAGGGUGAAAGCGGGGGACCGCAAGGCCUCGCGCGAUAGGAGCGGCCGAUAUCGGAUUAGCUAGUUGGUGAGGUAAAGGCUCACCAAGGCGACGAUCCGUAGCGGGUCUGAGAGGACGACCCGCCACACUGGAACUGAGACACGGUCCAGACUCCUACGGGAGGCAGCAGUGGGGAAUUUUGGACAAUGGGGGCAACCCUGAUCCAGCAAUGCCGCGUGUGUGAAGAAGGCCUGCGGGUUGUAAAGCACUUUCAGUGGGGAAGAACAGAUUCGGGUCAAUACCCCGGAGCCCUGACGUUACCCACAGAAGAAGCACCGGCUAACUCCGUGCCAGCAGCCGCGGUAAUG
rnacentral:rRNA from 1 species